rnacentral:rRNA from 1 species
UACGGAGGGUGCAAGCGUUAAUCGGAAUUACUGGGCGUAAAGCGUGCGUAGACGGUAGCGUAAGUCAGAUGUGAAAGCCCCGGGCUCAACCUGGGAAUUGCAUUUGAGACUGCUCUGCUCGGGUGCGGAAGAGGGAAGCGGAAUUUCCGGUGUAGCGGUGAAAUGCGUAGAUAUCGGAAGGAACACCAGUGGCGAAAGCGGCUUCCUGGUCCGACACAGACGUUCAGGCACGAAAGCGUGGGGAGCAAACAGG